rnacentral:rRNA from 1 species
AUGAACGCUAGCGGCAGGCCUAAUACAUGCAAGUCGAGGGGCAGCACGGGUAGCAAUAUCUGGUGGCGACCGGCGCACGGGUGCGUAACACGUAUACAAUCUGCCUUUUACAGGAGGAUAGCCUUUCGAAAGAGAGAUUAAUACCCCAUAAUACAUGAAAUAGCAUUAUUUUAUGUUGAAAGCUCCGGCGGUAAAAGAUGAGUAUGCGUCCUAUUAGCUAGUUGGUAGUGUAACGGACUACCAAGGCUACGAUAGGUAGGGGAUCUGAGAGGACUACCCCCCACACUGGUACUGAGACACGGACCAGACUCCUACGGGAGGCAGCAGUAAGGAAUAUUGGUCAAUGGGGGCAACCCUGAACCAGCCAUGCCGCGUGCAGGAAGAAGGCCCUAUGGGUCGUAAACUGCUUUUAUACGGGAGAAAACCUGGGUACGUGUACCCAGUUGAUAGUACUGUAAGAAUAAGGAUCGGCUAACUUCGU